rnacentral:rRNA from 1 species
CCUACGGGUGGCAGCAGUGAGGAAUAUUGGUCAAUGGCCGAGAGGCUGAACCAGCCAAGUCGCGUGAGGGAAGAAUGUCCUAUGGAUUGUAAACCUCUUUUGUCAGGGAGCAAAGUCACCCACGUGUGGGUGUUGGAGAGUACCUGAAGAAAAAGCAUCGGAUAACUCCGUUCCAGCAGCCGCGGUAAUACGGGGGAUGCGAGCGUUAUCCGGAUCUAUUGGGUUUAAAGGGUGCGUAGACGGGUUAUCAGGUCAGCGGUAAAAUCGUGGGGCUCAACUCCAUCCAGCCGUUGAAACUGAUGAUCUUGAGUGGGCGAGAGGGAUGCGGAAUGCGUGGUGUAGCGGUGAAAUGCGUAGAGAUGUCGCAGAACUCCGAUUGCGAAGGCAGCAUACCGGCGCCCGACUGACGCUGAGGCACGAAAGCGUGGGUAUCGAACAGGAUUAGAUACCCGUGUAGUC